rnacentral:rRNA from 1 species
CAUACCUAUUCGAAGGGAUAGGGUCGGUUUGGCCGGAUUUCACACAGGUGUUGCAUGGCUGUCGUCAGCUCGUGUCGUGAGAUGUUGGGUUAAGUCCCGCAACGAGCGCAACCCUCAUCCUUAGUUACCAUCAGGUUAUGCUGGGGACUUUAAGGAAACUGCCAGUGAUAAACCGGAGGAAGGUUGGGAUGAUGUCAAGUCAUCAUGGCCCUUAUGGAGUGGGCUACACACGUGCUACAAUGGUGAUUACAAUGGGCUGCAAGGUCGCAAGGCUGAGCUAAUCCUAAAAAAUCAUCUCAGUUCGGAUUGUUCUCUGCAACUCGAGAGCAUGAAGUUGGAAUCGCUAGUAAUCGUGGAUCAGCAUGCCACGGUGAAUACGUUCUCGGGUCUUGUACACACUGCCCGUCACGCCAUGGGAAUUGGUUUCACUCGAAGCU